rnacentral:rRNA from 1 species
UGGGGAAUAUUGCACAAUGGGCGAAAGCCUGAUGCAGCAACGCCGCGUGAGUGAUGAAGGCCUUCGGGUUGUAAAGCUCUGUCUUUUGGGACGAUAAUGACGGUACCAAAGGAGGAAGCCACGGCUAACUACGUGCCAGCAGCCGCGGUAAUACGUAGGUGGCAAGCGUUGUCCGGAUUUACGGGCGUAAAGGAUGCGUAGGCGGAUUUUUAAGUGAGAUGUGAAAACCCUAAGCUUAACUUGGGGACUGCAUUUCAUACUGGAAAUCUAGAGUGCGGGAGAGGAGAAUGGAAUUCCUAGUGUAGCGGUGAAAUGCGUAGAGAUUAGGAAGAACACCAGUGGCGAAGGCGAUUCUCUGGACCGUAACUGACGCUGAGGCAUGAAAGCGUGGGUAGCAAACAGGAUUAGAUACCCUGGUAGUCCACGCCGUAAACGAUGAGUACUAGGUGUAGGAGGUAUCGACCCCUUCUGUGCCGCAGUUAACACAAUAAGUACUCCGCCUGGGAAGUACGAUCGCAAG